CGCCGCCGAAACACAAACAGAGGGGGAGGGAAGACCGCGAGCUGAGCAGGACUCAGAAACUUUGCUCGCCACUCAUUGAUCCCCGCACUUUAGUUCAGCCGGACUCCCCCUGGCUCCCGGUGCUGUCACCUACCGCCCCUCCCUCGCCCCAGCCCCAUUGGACCCGAGCUGAAGCGGCCCCGCCUGGCACUCCUACCGCCAGCGCGCUCCGACUUUUUCGGCCUACGACUGGCUUCUCCGGAUGCUAAUCACUCCAGCCUCCCGGAGGACGGGAAGGAAGGGAGCUGCUGUACAAUAAGAUCCAACAGCAUCCAAACCGAACCUUCCCUAUUCCUUCUCUGUCUACAGAGCGAGCCAACUGCGGUCCAGGUCUAACCCUAAACCUGUCUCCAUUCGCCCCUCCCCUACCUCCAGGAGCAGAGGGUCAACUACAAAUUUAUCAUCUGGAGAACUCACCAAGAUGCUGACAUAUUCCAAGUGGAUUUAGCUGAUGGAGAUGGUUAAACUGCAGUGACUGUGUGAACCUCACGGGCAGUCGUUGCUCAGAGUCAGCAACAAUCAGACAAGUGGCUUCCAGUGCAAAUACGAUGACUCCUCCUGCCGUAAUCACACAAAGCUUUUCCCACACAUUCUCUGUUACCUCUGCGGCCAGCUCAGAUCCAGCUCAGAAAUAGCAUCAUCACCAUGAAUAUCUAUCCAUUUCUCUCAAGCGAAAACAGCAUGGGAAAGAAUUCCUAGAGGGAACUUUGCCAAGCAUUGCCCUGAAGGAAUUGCUAAACUGUUCUCCAAUGGUUGAAUUGAAAAAACAUUUUAUUUUUGAUGUGUGAUGUGAGGGGUGUUUACAAUUUUCCUAGCUCCACUAAGAUUCUGCUUCUUCUCUCUAAGUUUCCAUUGUGUUCUUGAGUACCCUGGAUAAAUAUUUGAAGUGCAAAAAACUGCGGACAGAUUUUAUGUCUUACCACAGGUCUGGAAGACUAAGGUGACUCCUUAGAUAUGCUGCUACAAUGUAGUAAAGAAAUCAUGGGUUUCAGAUUCAGAAAGGCCUAUGUAAAAUCCCAGCUCUAUUACCUACAAUCUUCAUUAUCUGGAGCAAUCACAUCUCCUCUAUGAACCUCAUUUUCCUCAUGGAUAAAAUAGGAGUAAUAAUAACUAUUAAAAAAAAAUCAUUAGAAACCUGAUAUAAAAUGCCUAUUACAAAGCUUGGUAUCCUGAAUGUAUGCAGUAAGUACUAUUAUUAAUCAUGUAUACAUGACAUUAUUGGGCUUCCCAGGUGCCACAGUGGUAAAUAAACUGCCUGCCAAUGCAGGAGACACAGACAUGCAGGUUGGAUCCCUUUGUCAGGAAAGAUCCCCUGGAGGAGGAAAUGGCAACACAC